AAGGGCCGAGAAGGCAGCACAGCACGCUGAACAUGUUGUACGAAACACAAAAAUUCCCAAGAAACAAGGAGAUUGUUGUAUUCAAUAAGGUCAGGAGAAACAGAGAGAUAUUUAAUUAUUACAAGAAAAUAAUCGUUUAUGAAAUACAUCAUUUGCGUCGCUAAGAUGCAACAAAGUUGAACGAGUAUUCUUCUGCUUGAAAUUGUUCAAAAUCAGAAUCUGUUUCGUUGAAUUUUGUGUUUAAUCAAGCGUGGUAAAACACUGGACAACCGACAGUGCGAGAAAAUGCAUAAAAAAUGCCGAUAUACAGUAUAUAAAAAAAUUAAAUUUCAAGAAUGUUGAGUACUGUUUAAUAAGGAGCAGGAAUGCAAGUGCUAUUGAACGGCUUUCAAGACGACUACAAAUUCGAUAGAUAUACUGCCUUAUUAGUAUUCUUUAGAUAAGAAAUACUAAUGAGGACACGACUACAAUAAAUACUGCUCAUUAAUAUUCUUUAUAUAAAGAUACAUAUUAGUAUUCUUUAUAUAAAGAAUACUAAUUAGGAGUGUUUUAUCAGGUAUAAAGCCACUGCACGUGACAUUAUAUUAUCGUUGACAUGAUUUGCCAAUAAGCUUAUGAAUUAGGGGCGGUCUGUUACAAAAGUGAUUGAAGGAGAAAAAAUGUGCAGGGAAACAGAAAGAAAGUAAGAAAAAUUCGUGCAGAGACUUCUCAAUAGGGAAAAUUAUGAGCUGAAAUAAAAAAUUCAUGCAAGGGAUUAUAUUUUAAAAAGUAUCGACACACAAGCAAAAAAAAUUAAAAAAUAUUCGUACAAGUUAAAAAAGUACCCUCCCCCCAUCACUUUUCUAAUGGACCGCCCCUUAUUAAUGAGUGUUUGAAACAAUUACAAUGCACUUUCAAAAAUAAAAUAUAUAAAAGUGCAAACCAAAUUUUAUCCUGCCAUUUUUAGCAAUUUCCAUUUUCUAGCAAUUUCAAAAAACAUUUCUAGCGGUCAAAUAAGUAUAAUAGUUAUAUUGCAGGGAUUAAACUUUUUCGUGAUCUUUCGGCCGGCCUUACCCGGCUAUAUAGUCUUUACUUUUCGUCAGUUUUGGCCAUUUUUUCUAUUUUCGAAAAAGCGGCCAUAAACGGCAAAAAAUAAGGCCGUAGCCUUAACUUUUUGCCUGUUUUUGUCCACUUUUUCCACUUUCGACAAAGCGACCAAAAACGCCCAAAAAGUAAGCUUAUAGCUUUAACCUUUCGUCCGUUUUUGGCCAGUUCUUCCACUUUUGAAAAAGGGACAAAAAAUAGGAAAAAAGUAAGGCUAUUAUUAUUAUAAAAAAAAAUAAAAACACUUUAUUAGCAUGACCAUAAUUUACAAGGUAUUGCUAAAGUAACUACUCUAAUUAUAACUAUACAGUAUAUACCAUAACAAGAUAUUUAUAUAAGAGAGAGGAAAUAUUAGUGUAUAUAAUUAACAGUAAAGAUAUGACUAUACUUUUCGUCCAUUUUAUGAUUAUACUUUUCGUCCACUUUCGACCCUUCACUUUUCGUCCAUUUUUGGCCGAUUUUUCAAUUUUUGAAAAGAGGCAAAAACAGCAAAAAAGUAAGGCUAUAGCCUUUACUUCUCUUCCAUUUUUAGCCGAUAUUUCAAUUUUUGAAAAAGAGGCAAAAAACAGCAAAAAAGUAAGGCUAUAGCCUUAACUUUUCGUCCAUUUUUGGCGACUUUUUUCAUUUUUCAUAAGUGGGCAAAAAAAAAGUAAGGCUAUACCCUUUACUUUUCGUCCAUUUUUAGCGAAUUUUGCCAUUUUUCAUAAGUUGGGAAAAAAACAGCAAAAAAGUAAGGCUAUAUAGCCUUUACUUUUCGUCCAUUUUUAGCGACUUUUGCCAUUUUUCAUAAAUGGACAAAAAACAGCAAAAAAGUAAGGCUAGAAACUUCAUGUAUUAGCCAACAGGAGAAAUCUAGGGGCCCCAUCUAGCGUAUUAUUUUAUAUAAGUUUACUUGUAGGCGAAACGCCAGAAAUGUUUUUUGCAGGGCACCGCAUUUUAGUACUGUGUCUGGUUUGUGUAGUAGUCUGUGCUUGUGUUGAGGAACAAGCCAUAUUUUAGUUGAAUAUGGUUGGGUAGAAAGGAAAAAACACUAUAUAAAGAUGACUAGGAAAGGAAAAGGUUUCUCUGGGAUACAAAGGGCAAUAAUAAAGCGAAAGAGGAGAGCAAAGCAUCGAGGAGACGGCUAAGACAUCGUGAUGAUGAACCUGCGUGUGUAUAAAUGUGAAUAGCUCUUUGGGGAAGACGAUGAAAUUACAAAACGGUGCUAGAGCUACAGAGUUGGUUGAUGUUUUUCCAGGUCUGCCUGGCAAUGAUGAAGAUGGAUAUAGGUUUAGAAAUAUAAAACAUUCAGCCUCUGUGUUCUCUGAAAUUCAUGUUUGCGAUGAAGGUAUUUAGUGAUGAUUUGUUUUUAAAUUGGCUUUGCCAGUUGGCCCUAUCACCCAAGUAUUAUAUUUGUUUGUUAUCUUGGCAUUGUAUAAGUGAUAAAAUGAAAUUCUUACAUGUUGUAAGUUUUAUCAGCUAUUUUUGCUUUGUUUAUUUAUUAUAUAAAUUAUGUGCACCUUUGAUAUAUGCCUUGGGCUGCUAUGAGUCAUCUCUAUGUCGAACCUACACCUCAACUAAUAAGAUUUUGCCUUGAACUUUUAGGUAAACAAGAAGAGCUGAAGCCAACUUUUGUAUAACUGAGUGAGUGAUACAAAGUUGCAUGAGAGAUGGGUACAUGGCACAACUUCAAAACCCAAAUGAAUGCCUGAACCCCUGGUAUCAACCCGUAUCGGCUUGAUGUCCAAAGCAUAAACAUCACAGCGUCCACACUGUUCACUGUACUGUUGCUUCAGCUUUUUGCCAUUUCCGUAGUGGUGCUGCAAGCAGAGAAAUGAUUAUGGAGGGACUUUCCAUACCUGCUGGUCACCAUACAAGGCAUAAUUCCUUUGUACGUGACAAGAAGAGGUUAAGAAAAUCUGAUUUUCAUACCAACCAGAAGCAAACGAAACGUCGCGAAUGACACGCCUUCCUGCCGAUACAAAGGGAAGAGGCUCUUCAUGAAGCUGAGGGAGUCAGUUUUGAAGCAGCAAGGUUUUAAACAACCCCCUGUUUCAUUUAAUGCAUGAAAUAAUGACUUGCACAGUCCAAAUAUUUACUAUUGCACUUUUUAAGACAUGGCAACUUUUAAAGCUGAUUUUCUCCAAAUACCUGUUUUUCGCAGUUGAGAAAAGAUAACUCGACUAGUAUUUGCUCGAUUGUUAUGAAAUUUUCAGGAAUUGUUGCUCUAAGAGAGCUUUCUUGGAUAAGCAUAGAGAUUUUUGAAAUGUCUAAUUUUAAGGAUGUUAUGAAUCAAAACGUGACCACUUUCUUGUUCACAAACUUUGACCAACCACUGUGUCAAUUCCUUUUAUAAUAUAAAAAAGUUCUAUGCUUAUCCAAGAAAACCACUUGUAAUCUUUCAUUUGGCACAAAAAAUAAGCAAUUUAAUGCAAUACCCAGUCUUAAAUCUUUUCUCAAAGGAAGAUGGGGAACUCACAGCAUGUGGUAGCCGGUGUCGGGUUACAAUGUAAUUAUUGAUAAUAUAAAUUAUAUUUUCAGAAUCUAUGUUUCAUUAGCUUUCAUAUGAUAUUUUGUUUGUCAUGGUUUAGAGUAAAACCUGAUGUGUUAUGGCUAUCUGAAUGAACAGCUUAAAGUUUGGGUUAACGCCUUAAGG